rnacentral:tRNA from 1 species
AAAAUCCGUCAAUGGCUUUAUAAAUCGUGAGGGUUCAAGUCCCUCUAUCCCCA